AUUGAACGCUGGCGGCAGGCCUAACACAUGCAAGUCGAGCGAGCGGCGGACGGGUGAGUAAUGUGUGGGAAACUGCCUGUUGGUGGGGGCUAACGACUGGCAACGGUAGCUAAUCACGCAUACAAGCAGAUGUGACCAGAUUGGAUUAGCUAGUGGGUUGGGUAACGGCUCACCUAGGCGACGAGCCCUAGCUGGUCUGAGAGGAUGACCAGCCACACUGGAACUGAGACACGGUCCAGACUCCUACGGGAGGCAGAAGUGGGGAAUAUUGCACAAUGGGCGCAAGCCUGAUGCAGCCAUGCCGCGUGUGUGAAGAAGGCCUUCGGGUUGUAAAGCACUUUCAGCGGGGAGGCGUUACCCGCAGAAGAAGCACCGGCUAACUCCGUGCCAGCAGCCGCGGUAAUAC
rnacentral:rRNA from 1 species